GACGAACGCUGGCGGCGUGCUUAACACAUGCAAGUCGAACGGAGUGGCGAACGGGUGAGUAUUACGUGAGUAACCUGCCCUCCACUGUGGGAUAAGCCUGGGAAACUGGGUCUAAUCCUGCAUAGUUGGGGAUGGGCUCGCGGCCUAUCAGCUUGUUGGUGGGGUGAUGGCCUACCAAGGCGGUGACGGGUAGCCGGCCUGAGAGGGGGGUCGGCCACAGUGGGACUGAGAUACGGCCCAAACUCCUACGGGAGGCAGCAGUGGGGAAUAUUGCACAAUGGGGGAAACCCUGAUGCAGCAACGCCGCGUGCGUGAUGACGGCCUUCGGGUUGUAAAGUACUUUCAGCGAGGAGGCGUUACUCGCAGAAGAAGCACCGGCUAACUCCGUGCCAGCAGCCGCGGUAAUAC
rnacentral:rRNA from 1 species